rnacentral:rRNA from 1 species
UACGGGGGGGGGCAAGCGUUGUUCGGAAUUACUGGGCGUAAAGGGCGCGUAGGCGGCUUGACAAGUCAAAGGUGAAAUCCCUCGGCUCAACUGAGGAACUGCCUUUGAAACUGUCAGGCUUGAGGCCGGGAGGGGGUAGCGGAAUUCCCAGUGUAGCGGUGAAAUGCGUAGAUAUUGGGAAGAACACCAGUGGCGAAGGCGGCUAACUGGUCCAGAUCUGACGCUGAGGUGCGAAAGCGUGGGGAGCAAACAGG